AAAAUUUGUCUUUUAAGAGCUGAAAUUGAGGUUGGCUUAAAUUCCACUAUCCUAAUUCAUUCCCAUUCUUCAAAUUGCCGCCCAAAUGUGUCUACUCAUCCUUUACAUUGCUGAUAGAUCUUAAGCUAUUAGAUAAAAAAUACAGUCAAGAUUCAGCCACUGGAUAAACUUUCAGGCAAUUGGAAUUUGUAAUUCAAAAACUUGGUCUCUCUCUUCUGUCUCUCUCAUCAGCUCCUCAUAAAUCUCUCUCUCUCUAUCAUUUUCUACCCCUUUUAGUUUCUCUCCACUAAGGCGAUGGUUCACCGUGUGACCAUUGUCAAGGCCGUUUUUCGUCCUCCAUCUCAACAAAACAGCAAACCACCAUCACAAGUAAAAUCUCCUCGCAAAAGUACCCUGAUUCUCUCACCCAUGAUUUUUCAAAAAAGGUCUCUUCUUUUUAGGUAAUGGGUUUCUGAAAAGGGAUUGAUUCAAUUAACAUUGCACUUGUUAAGUUUCAUCGUGCAACCAUCACAAGGCCGUUAAAUUGCACUUGUCAAGGCCGUUUUCCAUCCUCCAUCUCAACAAAAUAGAAAACCACCAUCACAAGUAAAAUCUCCUCACAUAAGUACCCUAAUUUUCUC
rnacentral:lncRNA from 1 species